rnacentral:misc_RNA from 1 species
AACGCAAAUUGCACUGUUGGGUACUCCCAGCAGUGUGUCUGUUUGAGUGUCAGUCAUAAACAAUCAUUCCAAAAAAGAAUGAACAUUGGUACUUUGCAGUUCUAAUAUUAAUUAUUGCAAUGUACUUAAGUAGAUUGAUUUUUUUUGUAGUAAAGUAUGCAUUUGUUUGCUUGAAACACAAAUGAAUAAUGUACUUCUCUUUGCUUACAUGCAAAUUUAAGCAAAAGCAAGAGUGAGUGAUUGUUUUGUUUGUUUUGUUUGAAAAACAUUUGUUUUUAUUACUUAAAUCAAAAAUUUUUUUUUUUAAAAAAUCUUUCUAAAAUUAACAACUUGACCUCAAAUUAGGCAAGGCUACCCGCUGAAUUUAA